UGGCUUAGAGGGUAAAGCGUCUGCCUACAAUGCGGGAGACCCAGGUUCGAUCCCUGG
rnacentral:tRNA from 1 species